GGCGCAACUGAAUAGCGCAUCUGAUUACGGCUCAGAAGGUUACAGGUUUGAAUCCUGUC
rnacentral:tRNA from 1 species